AUAGUUAUGAACUUAAGUCCCAACACUUGAUUUGUUAUUACAAGUAAUUAACAUCAAACCCUUAUAACUUAUAUAACUCAUAUACGUCAAAUAAAUUUCCGGAAAAUGUUAAACAUAUUUUCACGUUAAUUAUUUGUUUUGACCCGAAUCACUUAAUAUAUAUAGUCUAUCAAAACAUAACAAAACUCCCAAACGAAACGCUAAAAUAAAUCCAAAGCUGUAAUCUUUACAUACUAUAACCUAAAAUCUUAAAAUAAACUCAAAAUUUUCUCUUUUAAUCUUAAUCUAUAACUUCCAAAUACACUAACCUUAAAUCAUUGAAAAAACUCUAUACCCUAAACCCUUGAAAUUUCAAACACAAAUCAUACAUAGACUGAAUAUAAACUUCAAAUCUAAACUUUAAAAACUAAAUCUUAAUCACAAACCUUCAUAUACAAACUCUAACCCUUAUACUCUCAAAAUUCAAACCCCUAAAUCAUAAACAUAAUACUUAACCUUCCAACAUUAUAAAAAAAAAAUCACCGAACUCUAAGUUUCAUUUAUAAAUCUAUUUAUUUCAAAUAUUAAUCCUACAUUUUUAUUAAAUGAAUUGUUAGUUAAAAUGCCAAAAAAACUUAAUUAAAAUGUUCUUAAACACAAUCACCAAAAACACAAUCAUUCCGAUAGUCACAUUCUUCCCCACGACCAUUAGCCCUUUACAUACAUACAAGUAUUGUGUUUGAUUGGAUGGUAAAGAAUAAAAAAAGAAGGUAAAAUAUGAUUGGUUGAUAAAAAUGUGGCAAGGAUUGACUCAAACUAAUCUUAACCGUUGAUUGUAUCAUCCAUCUAAUGGACAUAAAUCAUAUGUGUCAAGGAUUGACUCAAACUAAUCUUAACCGUUGAUCGUUAUCUCUCUCUGCAACAGUCGAUGGCUUUACCUCCCUCACCGGGUUUCACCUCCUCACCACCACCACUGAACUGAGAAAAACAGCGAUGAAACAUGAAGGAUAAGUGGCAGUGUGACGGAGCAGACAGUAAAGAGGAGGACGGCGGCAGAGAGGAACCACCACCACCUUGAAAAAGUCUUAUGUGGAUGGUUUCUUCUGAAACAGCGGCGGAAAGAGGAGGCGUGAAGAACUCGAGGUGGCGAUGGAGAUAUGUGAAGAUUUAAGAAGAGGAAGAGAGAGAAGAAGAAGAAGAAGAAGAUGAGGAGAUGUGAACGGAGUGGAAGGAGGCGAGGCACAGACAUAACCGGACUGGAAAGAGGCGACGAGGAGAUGUGACCGGAGUGGAAGGAGACGAAGCAGAGACCUGACUGGAGUGGAACGAGACGAGGCGGAGACCUGGCCAAAGUUUCGCCGCUUCGCCGCUGUCGUCAAAGUCACGCCGGUGGUGGUUUUGUAUAAUAUUGGUAUAUACACAUGUAUUUAGAUUUGUAUUUGUACGUAUAUUUUUAGUUUAAUAAGAAAUUUAUAUUUAAAAUGA